UAGAAAUAAAAAUUUUGAAAAAAAAAAAAUCUACGCUUGUUGAAGGUAAAGUUUGGAAAUAGAACAAUUCCUUCUGUCGUGUAUCCUCCGUUAAUGUAACCUCAGAUGCAAUGGUUUAAUUGUCGACUCUAGUAUUGAGCGAAAGGCUACACCUAUAGGUUCUGUUAGGUUCUGUAUUUACAGGUCAAUCCUACUCCACCAGUACCAAUAGGCCACAUAGGGGAAGAAGCACUACACCUAGGAAUCAACAACACGAAAACUUUGUUCGAAAUUAU
rnacentral:lncRNA from 1 species